UUGCUAGAGAUUCGUUUUAGUUUUUCAAUUUCUUUCUCUGUACACCUGCCCCUCCCCCACCCCACCACUGGGUUACUACCUCCUUUUUGGCACUACAUGAUGCCUUAAGCCCAGGUUUGCCUAAGCUUUCAUAACAGAUCCCAGCACUGCUCAUCCCCAGUGGUGGAGGUUCUAAAUGGGAUAACCUGAUAGUGUGGGAAGGCUGGCUGGGGGUUGUGCCGAGUGGGCCUGUGGAAUGAACCACUUACAGCAUAGUGCUGCUGAAUAGCCACUCUGAAUGGUGUCCUUUUUGUCUGAGUAACACAGCAGAGUUCUCAGGGCUGUGGGUGAUAAUGUCCCACUUCCACCCUUUGUGCCUGGCUGUCCUCAGGGAGAUUUCUUUUUAUGGGCACUCAUGAUGCAUCCUGUGGGUUAAGGCAGGGACGGUUCUCCUGCCAAGAACUCAAGAUGGUGGAGGAGCUGGUUGUCUGCCUCAAUCUCAGGUAUUCCAGUGUAGAACACAUAAGUCUGGGGAAAUUUUUCUGCAUCAUUGGUGCAGGGCAGAUUGUGGUUGAUGUGUUGCAGACAUAGAAAUCCAAAUCUCUGUCUGCUUGGAUUUUUUUUUUUUUUACUUCUCUGUGCCCCUGGAACUGCCUAACCUUCAUAUUUGAGUUCUCAGAUAUUGCUGGUGACAAUCUCAACACUGUACGUUUGAUUUAGGUUUUCUCAGGGAGGGAGGGUGAGUGAAGCCAGCUUGCUUCUAUCCUGCCAUUUUGGAACUGGAAGUUCAUCUUUUUUUGAUCUGUUGAUUUGAUAACCAAGAAGGCUGCUAAGUAGCUAAUGGGCAAGUAGCUUCUCAGAUGAUAUAGGUUUGAUUACCUUAGAGCCACAUAGUUCAUUUUUUU
rnacentral:lncRNA from 10 species